UACGUAGGGUGCGAGCGUUACUCGGAAUUACUGGGCGUAAAGCGUGCGCGGGCGGCUUUGCAAGACAGAUGUGAAAUCCCCGGGCUCAACCUGGGAACUGCAUUUGUGACUGCAAGGCUAGAGUACGGCAGAGGGGGAUGGAAUUCCGCGUGUAGCAGUGAAAUGCGUAGAUAUGCGGAGGAACACCAAUGGCGAAGGCAAUCCCCUGGGCCUGUACUGACGCUCAUGCACGAAAGCGUGGGGAGCAAACAGG
rnacentral:rRNA from 1 species